rnacentral:rRNA from 1 species
AUGAUCGCGCUUUCCGAUCCAUACCGCGGCGACCACCACAUCACCGCCCUGGCCUCCUCUCUCGAUGGCACCCACCAUUGGUGGCUCACUGGAGUGUAUGGCCCGCACGGAGAUGAUGACAAGAUUGCCUUCCUCGGUGACCUUAGUGAGGUCCAAUCAUUGCGUGCUGGUCCUUGGAUCCUCGGGGGCGACUUUAACACGAUCUCCGGGGCAGCGGACAAGAAUAACUCCCGGCUCAAUCACCGGGUCAUGUCACAUUUCUGCCGCUUCCUCGCCGAUGAGGAGUUGCGCGAUAUUUACCUGCAUGGGCAGCGAUAUACUUGGUCAAGCGAGCGUGGCACCCCAACGCUCACGCGCAUCGAUAGGGUGCUCUAUAAUUCUGCAUGGGAGGGGCUCCACCCGCAUUGCAUGCUCUGUGGCCUCUCCUCUGCAGCAUCCGAUCAUGCGCCUCUCCUUCUAGAAUGCACCGCGCGCUCGCCUGGCACUAGGAGAUUUCACUUCGAGAGGUUCUGGCCGUGCACUAAGGGUGAUGUCUACUACGCAACCUUCUUCUUGUAG